UAUCUUAUCUCUACUUCUCUCGUUCUCUGCUCCUCUCUCGUUCUCUCCUCUACCAAAAAAGAAAGUUCUCUCAUAUUCCGCUAAAUAAUCAUUGAAGCCUAAAAUCUAUAGCUUUGUUUGAUUUCUGAGAAAAAAACUUUUUAGGGUUUAGAUUAUUAGGGCUCAGACACCAAAUUCUUCUUUCUAUUUCAAUUUCAGACUCCAAAUCUCAUCUAAGGCUUCGGUUAAACUGAUUCAGAUCGAGUGUUCAUAUCAUUCUGGGUUACUAAGGAAUCUAACGGGUUCAGAUCUUAUGUGUAAGUUAUACUAGAGGGAAGGAGGAAGGAAUUACAGAGUAAUCAUGGAUGAGCCAUCGAUGGACGAAACCAUUUUGGUUGGUGAUGAUUUAAUGACAGUACCUUCAUCACCUAUCAUACCUCCGGAAAUUGCAUCCCAUGUUCUUGAAGGUAUUGAGACUUGUGAUGGGAUUCUUAGGAAUUUCUUCUUACGUUAUGGAUGUGAUGAUCUGUAUUCAGAUUUAUGGAGAGCUUGUGCUGGUCCUAUUGUUGAUGUCCUUGUGUUCAUUAUGUCUUUCGAUAACAUAUUUUUCUCUCUUUUUAACAACAGAAGUUUAAGGUUUACAGAUAAACAUGGAUUUCGACUCUAUAUCUUAAGUUUUUCCUGUCAUGCUGGAAAUUCCUGAUAGUCAUAUAGAUAUUUUCGAGACUAGACCAAGUGUUAUGUUGUUGAGAGGAAAACUAAGGUUCCCUAUAAUAAAAGAGUGGAGAUGUGGAUGGUAAAUAUUCAUUUAUCUCUUUCUUGGUAUUUGCAGAAAAUUAAUAGCUUAGUAGAUACAUCAUACAUGUGUGGUUAUCCUAGCUGGUGAACUACAAUAAUUUAUUAGGUUGAUUUGAUAUCAAAUAUUUCGGAUAUUUCGGUAAUCUUUCUGUGCAGUCUUUGUUCAUGUGAUAUUAGUAGACACGUGUGGGUACACUAGCUGGUGAACUACAAUUGUGUACCUUCGGUAAUAUUUCUGUGCAGUCUUCGUUCAUGUGAUAUUAGUAGAUACAUGUAUCAGCCUUUACACUGAAAUUGUUGUUACUGUUCUUGUAUUAAUGCAAUUUAGGAGAUUUUUCAAGCUUGGGAUUUAUUGUCAUCUUUUUUCAGUAUGAGUCCUGUGUAGCAAUCCCAACGUAACUUCCAACAUCUUGACAUGUAACUCGAGAUUGGAGUUGUCGUAUUUCCUGCUUUUGUGAUAUAAUGUGAUAUGCUCCCCUAUAGAGAUGCAGAUAAAAUGCAACUAAUUGUAUGAAGCCAAGACUUAUUUUUUUGACAUCAGCAUAGUUGUGUUUCUCAAUCUGCAUACACCUUUAUUGUUCAAUUUGGACAUAUAUCAUCCAAAGAAAAUAAGCACAAGAAGGAAGUUAUGUUACUUGCUGUCAAUCGUAAACAUUCUGAUUACACCUCCUUUAAACCAGAGAAGCUGCAACCUCAGAUGGCUGCUGAUAACAGUGUUUUUACAGCUUCUGAAGGCCAGACACAGAGACCAACUCUUGAGGUGGUGGAGAUCUACAAAUCAUCUGUUUAUGUGAAUCCUAUCUUAGGUGCUUUGGGAGUUGAUAUAUGGAGAUAUUUUAGCGCAUCUGAGGCAACUGAUAUUGUUUCUAGUUAUGUUGAACAUUCAGAAUAUGGUAAAGACAAAGCCAUUGUGGUUUUGGAUGCAACUCUAUGUGAUGCUCUCUUCAAGGGAACAAUAAAGAAGGGCUCAACGUAUCCAACUGAGAUUCAUAAAAAGGAUUUAGGAGCUGAUUUUCUGAGUCGAAUGCAGCCUCACCACAGAGUAACGAGAGGAGGCGAGUUUGCUGUGCGAAAAGGUGCUCUUAAAACAGUUCAGAUAGUAACUGAACGUAGGCAAGGAAACAAAAAAGUAACAAGAUUGUCUGGAUUGGAUUCGUUCUUGCUAGAUGCCGAAGUAUUGGCUUCUGAGCUACAGAAGAAGUUUGCAUGCAGUACAACAGUGGCAUAGCUUCCAGUAUACUCGACAAAUAGCUAGCCAGCUCUCAUGGUCAAUACUUCUACAAGUCCUGCCAGUCCAGGUUCACCAAUGAUUCCAUGUUUUAUUUUGAUUUAAACUGAAUUGUUUCAUUUUUGGUUGUUAUUUUUGGUAGUUUCUGUAUCAGAAUGUAUACUUUUCAGAUUUCUAUAAUAUUAUGUAAUUGUUUUCACUUCUA